rnacentral:rRNA from 1 species
GACGAACGCUGGCGGCGUGCUUAACACAUGCAAGUCGAACGAUGAAGCCGGAGCUUGCUCUGUGAAUUAGUGGCGAACGGGUGAGUAACACGUGAGUAACCUGCCCUUGACUCUGGGAUAACUGCUAGAAAUGGUAGCUAAUACCGGAUACGACCCUCGGAGGCAUCUCCAGGGGGUGGAAAGAAUUUCGGUCAAGGAUGGACUCGCGGCCUAUCAGCUAGUUGGUGAGGUAACGGCUCACCAAGGCGACGACGGGUAGCCGGGCUGAGAGGGUGACCGGCCACACUGGGACUGAGACACUGCCCAGACUCCUACGGGAGGCAGCAGUGGGGAAUAUUGCACAAUGGGCGCAAGCCUGAUGCAGCAACGCCGCGUGAGGGAUGACGGCCUUCGGGUUGUAAACCUCUUUUAGUAGGGAAGAAGCGAAAGUGACGGUACCUGCAGAAAAAGCACCGGCUAACUACGUGCCAGCAGCCGCAGUAA